AUUGAACGCUGGCGGCAGGCCUAACACAUGCAAGUCGAGCGAGCGGCGGACGGGUGAGUAAUGUCUGGGAAACUGCCUGAUGGAGGGGGAUAACUACUGGAAACGGUAGCUAAUACCGCAUACCAUCAGAAGUGCCCAGAUGGGAUUAGCUAGUAGGUGGGGGAAUGGCUCACCUAGGCGACGAUCCCUAGCUGGUCUGAGAGGAUGACCAGCCACACUGGGACGGAGACACGGUCCAGACUCCUGCGAGAGGCAGCAGUGGGGACUAUUGCACAAUGGGCGCAAGCCUGAUACAGCCGUGCCGCGUGUGUGAAGAAGGCCUUCGGGUUGUAAAGCACUUUUAGCAGGGAAGCGAUACCUGCAGAAUAAGCACCGGCUAACUCCGUGCCAGCCGCCGCGGUAAUUC
rnacentral:rRNA from 1 species